rnacentral:lncRNA from 1 species
AGGGACUUUUGUCCUUUCCAUUUGAUGGAACCUACUCCACGUAAGUCUUUUUUUCUUUGCAUCAACAAUGUAUAAUCUAUCUCCAUAACAAAAGAUGAAAUAAAGUUAUAAAUUGUGUUUAGUGAUUUCAUUGAGGAGUGGGUCAAAAUUGGUUUACCUGCAAAGGCGAAGGUGAAAGCACAACAUGGAGAUGCACCUUUUGCAGAGCUAUGCACACACUGUGAGAAGGUAUGAGACGCGUACAAACCAAUCCACAAGCAACAAGCUUGAUGAAUAUCUUCCAGUAUUUAUCAUGUAGCUAAACUUAAACAUAAUGUUAAAAAUUCUGCUAACAACACACUUUUUUAUCGCAUGAACUUCAUAUGGAUUGCAUAAAAUUUAUGCGAGUCAACAUGAUAUAGCAAAAUCCAUUUGAAUUUCAACUUGUAGAAAGUACGCGUUGAAAAGAAUGUGUUGUUAGCACUUUUCCCGAACACUAUUAUUAGUCUAAAUUCAUGUCGGUCUCUUCAGAUAUGAAUUUCAGCCAAUAAUAGUGUUGGAAACAUAGUAUUAGAGGAUGUGUUGCAAACCCUAAUGAUAUACAAUGAUUUACAAGAAAGACAUAUUAGUGAAUCUUACAAGUUAAAAUUGAAUUAUGUGCAGGAAGCUGUGAAUGCUUCCCUUGGAAACCUUCUCACCUACCCAUUUGUGAGAG